CGUGCCUAAUACCAAUGCAGUUCGUACACAUGGUAAUAGCACCGGAGCUUGCUCCACCGGAAAAAGAAGAGUGGCGAACGGGUGAGUAACACGUGGGUAACCUGCCCAUCAGAAGGGGAUAACACUUGGAAACAGGUGCUAAUACCGUAUAACAAUCGAAACCGCAUGGAUUUUGAUUUGAAAGGCGCUUUCGGGUGUCGCUGAUGGAUGGACCCGCGGUGCAUUAGCUAGUUGGUGAGGUAACGGCUCACCAAGGCCACGAUGCAUAACCGACCUGAGAGGGUGAUCGGCCACAUUGGGACUGAGACACGGCCCAAACUCCUACGGGAGGCAGCAUUAGGGAAUCUUCGGCAAUGGACGAAAGUCUGACCGAGCAACGCCGCGUGAGUGAAGAAGGUUUUCGGAUCGUAAAACUCUGUAGUUAGAGAAGAACAAGGACUGAGAGCCUCGGCUCAUCCCCUGACGGUAUCUAAGCAGAACUACGCGCCUAACUACGCGGUAAUACGUCGCGUGGAAUACCUAUGUGCGGAACUAUUGUCCGGAAAUAUUGGCGCGUGACAGCGCGCGUAAGUCUGAUGCUUAAAGCCCGAGGUGUCAAACGCCCGAGGGUCAUUGGGAACUGGCGUUACUUGAGUGCCAAAGACGAGUGGUGGAAUAUCCACAAUGUAUAGACUUAAAUGCGUUAGACGAUGUGGAAGAACACCGUGUGUCGAAG
rnacentral:rRNA from 1 species